CAGCAGGGAACAGAUUUUUCAUCGGGAAGUCGCAGCAAGAACGUCGCAGUGACACUAUCCGUGUUGAAUGCCGCGUGGGCGUCAUAUCGGCCUGCUAAUCGGCUAGGAUGCUAACAGUGAUCUAGAUUAGCAGUAAAUGAAACACCCAGCGCUGUUAGCGUUCUUCUCACGAAACAGCGACGAAGUUAAAACAAAAAAAAGCAGAAAAGACGAGUCGUGUGUGUGGAGUGUAAUUAUGGUGGAGAAGAAAAGACAGCAGCAGUCUGAAAGUCUUAAAAGAGGAUCAGUGCCUGAGUGAAGGAGUGAAGGAGAAGAGGAACACCGGGCCGGUGAUGUCGCCGAGCAAAAUGACGAUCCGGAUGGUGAAUAAACUGCCUGAGUAAUCACCAGGGGCACAUAAAAGGGUGACCGCAGCGAGGGCUGGUGGCGUGUUUAUUACGAGCUCUGUCAGUGUUCUGGAGCUACGUUUCUGUCCUCCGUCCUUCUCUCUGGCUACAGCGACCA